rnacentral:rRNA from 1 species
CUACGGAGGGUCCGAGCGUUAAUCGGAAUUACUGGGCGUAAAGCGCGCGUAGGUGGAUGUAUAAGUCAGAUGUGAAAGCCCUAGGCUCAACCUAGGAACUGCAUUUGAAACUGUACGUCUAGAGUAUGGUAGAGGUGAGUGGAAUUUCAGGUGUAGCGGUGAAAUGCGUAGAGAUCUGAAGGAACAUCAGUGGCGAAGGCGACUCACUGGGCCAUUACUGACACUGAGGUGCGAAAGCGUGGGUAGCAAACAGGAUUAGAUACCCUAGUAGUCC